GUGGGGAAUAUUGGACAAUGGGCGCAAGCCUGAUCCAGCCAUGCCGCGUGAGUGAUGAAGGCCUUAGGGUUGUAAAGCUCUUUCACCGGUGAAGAUAAUGACGGUAACCGGAGAAGAAGCCCCGGCUAACUUCGCGCCAGCAGCCGCGGUAAUACGAAGGGGGCUAGCGUUGUUCGGAAUUACUGGGCGUAAAGCGCACGUAGGCUGAUAUUUAAGUCAGGGGUGAAAUCCCGGGGCUCAACCCCGGAACUGCCUUUGAUACUGGGUAUCUUGAGUAUGGAAGAGGUCAGUGGAAUUGCGAGUGUAGAGGUGAAAUUCGUAGAUAUUCGCAGGAACACCAGUGGCGAAGGCGGCUGACUGGUCCAUUACUGACGCUGAGGUGCGAAAGCGUGGGGAGCAAACAGGAUUAGAUACCCUAGUAGUCC
rnacentral:rRNA from 1 species